rnacentral:tRNA from 1 species
GCCGGAGUGGCGGAACGGUAGACGCCCCGGACUUAAAAUCCGGCGGGCUUGCCCGUGCGGGUUCGACUCCCGCCUCCGGCACCA